rnacentral:rRNA from 1 species
UACGUAGGGGUGCAAGCGUUAAUCGGAAUUACUGGGCGUAAAGCGUGCGCAGGCGGUGAGCUGUGUCCGAUGUGAAAGCCCCCGGGGCUUAACCUGGGAAUGGCCAUUGGAAACUGGCUCGCUGGAGUGUGGCAGAGGGGGGGUGGAAUUCCGCGUGUAGCAGGUGAAAUGCGUAGAGAAUUGCGGAGGAACACCGAUGGCGAAGGCAGCCCCCUGGGCGUAACACUGACGCUCAGCACGAAAGCGUGGGGAGCAAACAGGG